GCUAUUUCUAGAGAUAGAAAGUUACUUCGGUACAUCGGUGACAGGUGGUGCAUGGUUGUCGUCAGCUCGUGUCGUGAGAUGUUGGGUUAAGUCCCGCAACGAGCGCAACCCCUAUUGUUAGUUGCCAUCAUUCAGUUGGGCACUCUAGCGAGACUGCCGGUAAUAAACCGGAGGAAGUGGGGAUGACGUCAAAUCAUCAUGCCCCUUAUGACCUGGGCUACACACGUGCUACAAUGGUUGGUACAACGAGUUGCGAGUCGGUGACGGCGAGCUAAUCUCUUAAAGCCAAUCUCAGUUCGGAUUGUAGGCUGCAACUCGCCUACAUGAAGUCGGAAUCGCUAGUAAUCGCGGAUCAGCACGCCGCGGUCGAAUACGUUCCCGGGCCUU
rnacentral:rRNA from 1 species